rnacentral:rRNA from 1 species
AGGCAGCAGUGGGGGAUAUUGGACAAUGGGGGGGAACCCUGAUCCAGCGACGCCGCGUGAGUGAAGAAGUAUUUCGGUAUGUAAAGCUCUAUCAGCAGGGAAGAAAGUAUGACGGUACCUGAGUAAGAAGCCCCGGCUAACUACGUGCC